GGAAAUUAAGUGUUGCGCCCAUCGCUGAGCGGCAGCUCUUCAGGAGAGUCACUAGCCAACGCUUGAGCGUCAACGUUGAGGGGAACCAUGGGUAUCGCGCUCACCGCUGAGCGGUGCCGCUAAGCGCUAGUCUUUUGGGCUGGGCUAGUUUUAGCUUUGUUUUAAUGAACUAUAAAUAGAUUUGUACGACCUUUAGAGGGGAUUAUCUUUCGGCAGAAAGGACGCAAGAAAUAUUCUCUUCACCCUUAGGAGGUAGAUUUUGGAUGCGGAAGCUCUGAUUUACAACAAUUAGGGUUUUAUCUUUCAUUCUUUCCAUUUAUUUCAUCU
rnacentral:lncRNA from 1 species